rnacentral:rRNA from 1 species
UACAGAGGUCUCAAGCGUUGUUCGGAUUCAUUGGGCGUAAAGGGCGCGUAGGCGGCCUGGCAAGUGACGGGUGAAAGCCCUCGGCUCAACCGAGGAACUGCCUGUCAUACUGCCGGGCUUGAGUCCGGGAGAGGUGAGUGGAAUUCCCAGUGUAGCGGUGAAAUGCGUAGAUAUUGGGAGGAACACCAGUGGCGAAGGCGGCUCACUGGACCGGAACUGACGCUGAGGCGCGAAAGCGUGGGGAGCAAACAGG